rnacentral:rRNA from 1 species
AUACGUAGGGGGCGAGCGUUGUCCGGAAUGAUUGGGCGUAAAGGGCGCGUAGGCGGCCCGGUAAGUCUGGAGUGAAAGUCCUGUUUUUAAGAUGGGAAUUGCUUUGGAUACUGUCGGGCUUGAGUGCAGGAGAGGUAGGUGGAAUUCCCAGUGUAGCGGUGAAAUGCGUAGAGAUUGGGAGGAACACCAGUGGCGAAGGCGACUUACUGGACUGUAACUGACGCUGAGGCGCGAAAGUGUGGGGAGCAAACAGGAUUAGAUACCCUGGUAGUCCACACUGUAAACGAUGAAUGCUAGGUGUAGGGGGUAUCGACCCCUUCUGUGCCGCAGUCAACACAAUAAGCAUUCCGCCUGGGGAGUACGGCCGCAAGGUUGAAACUCAAAUGAAUUGACGGGG